rnacentral:rRNA from 1 species
GACGAACGCUGGCGGCGUGCCUAAUACAUGCAAGUAGAACGCUGAAGGAGGAGCUUGCUCUUCUGGAUGAGUUGCGAACGGGUGAGUAACGCGUAGGUAACCUGCCUGGUAGCGGGGGAUAACUAUUGGAAACGAUAGCUAAUACCGCAUAACAGUAGAUGUUACAUGACAUUUGCUUAAAAGGUGCAAUUGCACCACUACCAGAUGGACCUGCGUUGUAUUAGCUAGUUGGUGGGGUAACGGCUCACCAAGGCGACGAUACAUAGCCGACCUGAGAGGGUGAUCGGCCACACUGGGACUGAGACACGGCCCAGACUCCUACGGGAGGCAGCAGUAGGGAAUCUUCGGCAAUGGACGGAAGUCUGACCGAGCAACGCCGCGUGAGUGAAGAAGGUUUUCGGAUCGUAAAGCUCUGUUGUAAGAGAAGAACGAGUGUGAGAGUGGAAAGUUCACACUGUGACGGUAUCUUACCAGAAAGGGACGGCUAACUACGUG